GUCAGUUUAGUAUAUGUGUGUUAGUACGUGAGAUUGUAAAUUUCAAGGGGAGUGGUAUCAGCUGAAA
rnacentral:tRNA from 1 species